GGGCACAUGGUGUAGUUGGUUUAUCACGCCCGCUUAGCAUCUUGGUAGUGUUCUUACGUGCGGGAGGUGUUGGGUUCAAUUCCCAAUGUGUCCA